rfam:Solanum lycopersicum cultivar Heinz 1706 chromosome 3, whole genome shotgun sequence.
UUUUCUUCGGGGACAUCUGAUAAAAUUGGAACAAUACGGAGAAGAUCAAUGUGAUUCCUGUGCUAGAAUGGGACCAAACAAAUUGAGAAAUAGACUCGUGCU